GUGGGGAAUAUUGGGCAAUGGGCGCAAGCCUGACCCAGCAACGCCGCGUGAGGGAAGAAGGCUUUCGGGUUGUAAACCUCUGUCCUUGGUGACGAAACAAAUGACGGUAGCCAAGGAGAAAGCCCCGGCUAACUACGUGCCAGCAGCCGCGGUAAUACGUAGGGGGCGAGCGUUGUCCGGAAUUACUGGGCGUAAAGGGUGCGUAGGUGGCCUUUUAAGUUGGAUGUGAAAUACCCGGGCUUAACUUGGGGGGUGCAUCCAAAACUGGGAGGCUAGAGUGCAGGAGAGGAAAGCGGAAUUCCUAGUGUAGCGGUGAAAUGCGUAGAUAUUAGGAGGAACACCAGUGGCGAAGGCGGCUUUCUGGACUGUAACUGACACUGAGGCACGAAAGCGUGGGGAGCAAACAGGAUUAGAAACCCUUGUAGUCC
rnacentral:rRNA from 1 species